GACGAACGCUGGCGGCGUGCUUAACACAUGCAAGUCGAACGGUAAGGCCCUUCGGGGUACACGAGUGGCGAACGGGUGAGUAACACGUGGGUGAUCUGCCCUGCACUUCGGGAUAAGCCUGGGAAACUGGGUCUAAUACCGGAUAGGACUCCGGACUGCAUGGUCUGGGGUGGAAAGCUUUUGCGGUGUGGGAUGGGCCCGCGGCCUAUCAGCUUGUUGGUGGGGUGAUGGCCUACCAAGGCGACGACGGGUAGCCGGCCUGGGAGGGUGACCGGCCGCAAUGGGACGGAGGUACGGCCCAGACUCCUACGGGAGGCAGCAGUGGGGAAUAUUGCACAAUGGGCGCAAGCCUGAUGCAGCGACGCCGCGUGAGGGAUGACGGCCUUCGGGUUGUAAACCUCUUUCAGCAUCGACGAAGCGAAAGUGACGGUAGGUGCAGAAGAAGGACCGGCCAACUACGUGCCAGCCGCCGCGGUAA
rnacentral:rRNA from 1 species